rnacentral:rRNA from 1 species
GACGAACGCUGGCGGCAUGCCUAAUACAUGCAAGUCGAACGCUGAAGCACUCUGCUUGCAGAGUGCGGAUGAGUGGCGAACGGGUGAGUAACACGUGGGAAAUCUGCCUAUAAGAGGGGGAUAACAUUCGGAAACGGAUGCUAAUACCGCAUAUAAUCUUGGACCGCCUGGUCCUUGAAAGAAAGACGGCUUUGCUGUCGCUUAUAGAUGAUCCCGCGGCGUAUUAGUUAGUUGGUGGGGUAAAGGCCUACCAAGACAAUGAUACGUAGCCGACCUGAGAGGGUGAUCGGCCACACUGGGACUGAGACACGGCCCAGACUCCUACGGGAGGCAGCAGUAGGGAAUCUUCCACAAAGGGCGAAAGCCUGAUGGAGCAAUGCCGCGUGAAUGAAGAAGGUCUUCGGAUCGUAAAGUUCUGUUAUUAGAGAAGAACAAGUCAAGGAGUAACUGUCUUGACUUUGACGGUACCUAACCAGAAAGUCACGGCUAACUACGUG